UGAGUACGAGAUGCUACGGCAUCGAAGCAGUCUAUGUCAUACUUCCAAGAAAAGCUUGCAAUGUCAUAAACAAAUAAUGCCUGUACCAUAACCGACACAGGUGGGUAGGUAGAGUAUACUAAGGGGCGCGAGAUAACUCUCUCUAAGGAACUCGGCAAAAUGACUCCGUAACUUCGGGAGAAGGAGUGCCUUAUUUUUAUAAGGUUGCAAUAACAAGAUCCAAGCAACUGUUUACCAAAAACACAGGUCUCCGCUAAGUCGUAAGACGAUGUAUGGGGGCUGACGCCUGCCCAGUGCCAGAAGGUUAAAGAAGUUGGUUAGCAUUAGCGAAGCUGAUAACUGAAGCCCUGGUGAACGGCGGCCGUAACCAUAACGGUCCUAAGGUAGCGAAAUUCCUUGUCGGGUAAGUUCCGACCCGCACGAAAGGCGUAAUGAUUUGGAUACUGUCUCGGAGAGGGGCUCGGUGAAAUAGACUUGUCUGUGAAGAUGCGGACUACCUGCACCUGGACAGAAAGACCCUAUGAAGCUUUACUGUAACUUGAGAUUGAAAUUGGACUUUAUCUGCGCAGUAUAGGUGGGAGACGUUGAAAAUAUUCUUGCGGGAAUAUUGGAGUCAUCAGUGAGAUACCACUCUUAUAAUGUUAGAUUUCUAACUUUGUAUCAUUAUCUGGUCAAAGAACAGUUUCAGGCGGGCAGUUUGACUGGGGCGGUCGCCUCCCAAACGGUAACGGAGGCGCACAAAGGUUUCCUCUGAACGUGUAGAAAUCGUAUCUAGAGUGUAAAGGCAUAAGGAAGCUUGACUGUGAGACCUACAGGUCGAGCAGGGACGAAAGUCGGUCUUAGUGAUCUGACGGUGCUGAGUGGAAAGGCCGUCACUCAACGGAUAAAAGUUACUCUAAGGAUAACAGGCUGAUCUCCCCCAAGAGUUCACAUCGACGGGGAGGUUUGGCACCUCGAUGUCGGCUCAUCGCAUCCUGGGGCGGUAGUACGUCCCAAGGGUUGGGCUGUUCGCCCAUGAAAGCGGUACGCGAGCUGGGUUCAGAACGUCGUGAGACAGUUCGGUCCAUAUCCGGUGUAGGCGUUAGAAUAUUGAGAGGAGCCUUCUUUAGUACGAGAGGACCGAGAAGGACAUACCUCUGGUGUACCAGUUAUCGUGCCAACGGUAAACGCUGGGUAGCCAUGUAUGGAGAGGAUAACCGCUGAAAGCAUCUAAGUGGGAAGCCCACCUCAAGAUAAG
rnacentral:rRNA from 1 species